GACAAUGAGUUUCUGAGGCUGAGACAUAUGAGUUGAGGUUCUGAGAAAUAUGACAGUUUGACUAGAAGGCUCUGAGACAUAUUGAUUGUUUUACUGGAAUGUUCUGAGACAUUGACAGUUGAAGGUCUGCGACAUAUUGGAGUUGACUAGAGUCUGAGACAUAUGACGUUUGACUGGAAGUUUGGACAUUGACGUUUGACUGGAAGGUCUGAGACUAUUGACAGUUUGACUGGAAGGUUCUGAGACUAUGACAGUUUGACUGGAAGGUUCUGAGACAUAUUGACAGUUUGACUGGAAGGUUCUGAGACAUAUUGACAGUUUGACUGGAAGGUUCUGAGACAUAUUGACAGUUGAAGGUUCUGAGACAUAUUGACAGUUUGACUGGAAGGUUCUGAGACAUAUUGACAGUUGAAGGUUCUGAGACAUAUUGACAGUUUACCAAACCUGCUUUAUAAUUUGACAACGACAAUCCAUUGUUACCCAGCCCUCCAUUUGUCUCCAGUCUCUCACACAGGGCUGGAAGGCCCGUUGGCCCCAGUUUUCAAUCCACAGACUGUAUGGAUAUUUCAGCAAACAGCUUUCAAUUCAGCGAUUGUCAAUCCCCUUGUUCUGAUUGGGGCAGUAAAGAACACCAUGUUGAUUCACCAUGUUGAUUCCAACAGUCCAGUAUUUUCYCUCCCUCCAACCCGGCUGGUCGUUAGAUUGGGGCAGUAAAGGACACCAUGUUGACUCCAACAGUCCAGUAUUUUCCCUCCCUCCAACCCGGCUGGUCGUUAGAUUGGGACAGUAAAGAACGCCAUGUUGACUCCAACAGUCCAGUAUUUUCCCUCCCUCCAACCCCAGCAUCAGUCAG
rnacentral:lncRNA from 1 species